AUCAUCUGAUGAUUGGUUGGGAGGUUAUGGCCAAAUGAUCACAAAGUAUGCAUGGAAGUUCAAAGUGACAUAACUUUUGAUCCAAAACUCCAAAUUGGUCCAUUAUUUUUGCAAAAUACUCCUCAUGACCAAUACUUUUCAAAUCAAGCUUUGCCAUGCAUGGAAAAAGCUCAUAUGAUCAUCAUUGCUCACAUGUGCAAAAUGGAGGGAAAUUUCAUAAUUCAAAUU
rnacentral:lncRNA from 1 species